CUCAGUGCCCGUCACCCAGUCACCCCCACCCCCUGCCCUCCUCCCCUCAGAUAUAUUUUAAAAAUGCAACGCUCUAUUUGCCUGUAGAUUGAUUUGUAUGUUGAAGCACCCCUCCCUCAUUCCCAGGUUGGGGGUGUCAGUCGGGGGCCUCUGGUCUCUGGCACCAUCCAUCCUGGGUGGCCUCCUCUUCACCCCAGGGCCCUUCUACUCUUGAUUCCCGCUAAGAGCUGUGGUGACCUCGAGGUCUCCUCCGAUCUCUCUUGCAUGCCAGGUCUUUCUUGGGCUCCUGAGAACACCUUCCCCUUGUCCCCUCAUGUCACGACCCUCCAUCCAUGACAACCUCUGACAGACUAGAGGGUGCCAUGGAGCACAGUUUGGAAACCACUGGAUUACCGAUAAGGGUGUGGCUCUGGCAUGCGGUGGACCCGAGUCCUCGAUGGACCCUUGCCAGCUGGUGGCCUCAAGCAACUGGGAAUCCCUCAGGCUUAACCUCCUGGUCUCUACAAUGCGGACACAGACACCUUCCUGCCAGGGUGGUACAAAGGGUGGCAUCUGAGAAUUCCUGGUGAGCAGGGACUUGGGGUCAGAGCAGCCCGGUCCCCGACUUACCCUGACACCCUUACGUACCCUAAGCCACAGACUCUUCCCCUGCAUCAGAUGGGGCUGGGGUACCUCCUUACUCAUUCCCUUACUCAUUCAGCCUGUCCAUCUGCUUUUAUGAAGACAGCAGCCUUCCCGGAUUCCUGACCCCUAGAAACGGUGAGGUUGUAAACGUUUAUUGUUCUAAGCUGAGGACUUUUGUUGGAGUGAUUUAUUAUACAGCAAUAGCUUAACCCCGAGCCACAUCCUCUGCCCACUGAGCUCUUAGGAUCAGGGAAGAAAACAAACAGGGAAACCUAAAUAUUAUAUAAGAAAGCAGGUCAACUUCAUACAAAGCACGUGGCCCGGAUACGGGAGAGCUCGAUUCUUAUUUCACAGGGUCAAACAAUGAAUCUCGAGGACCCCUGACAACGGGCAAAAUGAUAGAAAUAUAUUAAGCAAAGAUGCAGAGAAAACCCUCAGAAGUGAGACGGGUCCUGACAGCCUGGCCACUGAGGGCUUUUAUGGGCAGCCCGGGUGGCUCAGUGGUUUAGCACCUGCCUUCGGCCCAGGGCAUGAUCCUGGAGUCCUGGGAUCGAGUCCUGCGUCAGGCUCCCUGCAUGGAGCCUGCUUCUCCCUCUGCCUGUGUCUCUGCCUCUCUCUCUCUGUCUCUCAUUCAUAAAUAAAUAAAUAAAUAAAUAAAUAAAUAAAUAAAUA
rnacentral:lncRNA from 1 species